rnacentral:rRNA from 1 species
GACGAACGCUGGCGGCGUGCCUAAUACAUGCAAGUAGAACGCUGAAGGAGGAGCUUGCUUCUCUGGAUGAGUUGCGCACGGGUGAGUAACGCGUAGGUAACCUGCCUGGUAGUGGGGGAUAACUAUUGGAAACGAUAGCUAAUACCGCAUAAUAGCAGUUGUUGCAUGAUAACUGUUUGAAAGGUGCAAUUGCACCGCUACCAGAUGGACCUGCGUUGUAUUAGCUAGUUGGUGGGGUAACGGCUCACCAAGGCGACGAUACAUAGCCGACCUGAGAGGGUGAUCGGCCAACCUGGGACUGAGACACGGCCCAGACUCCUACGGGAGGCAGCAGUAGGGAAUCUUCGGCAAUGGACGGAAGUCUGACCGAGCAACGCCGCGUGAGUGAAGAAGGUUUUCGGAUCGUAAAGCUCUGUUGUAAGAGAAGAACGAGUGUGAGAGUGGAAAGUUCACACUGUGACGGUAUCUUACCAGAAAGGGACGGCUAACUACGUG